rnacentral:rRNA from 1 species
UGGGGAAUAUUGCACAAUGGGCGCAAGCCUGAUGCAGCAACGCCGCGUGAGGGAUGACGGCCUUCGGGUUGUAAACCUCUUUUAGUAGGGAAGAAGCGAAAGUGACGGUACCUGCAGAAAAAGCACCGGCUAACUACGUGCCAGCAGCCGCGGUAAUACGUAGGGUGCGAGCGUUGUCCGGAAUUAUUGGGCGUAAAGAGCUCGUAGGCGGUCUGUCGCGUCUGCUGUGAAAACCCCGAGGCUCAACCUCGGGCCUGCAGUGGGUACGGGCAGACUAGAGUGCGGUAGGGGAGAAUGGAAUUCCUGGUGUAGCGGUGGAAUGCGCAGAUAUCAGGAGGAACACCGAUGGCGAAGGCGAGUUCUCUGGGCCGUAACUGACGCUGAGGAGCGAAAGCGUGGGGAGCGAACAGGAUUAGAUACCCUGGUAGUCCACGCCGUAAACGUUGGGCGCUAGAUGUGGGGACCAUUCCACGGUUUCCGUGUCGCAGCUAACGCAUUAAGCGCCCCGCCUGGGGAGUACGGCCGCAAGGCUAAAA